rnacentral:rRNA from 1 species
UACAGAGGUCUCAAGCGUUGUUCGGAUUCAUUGGGCGUAAAGGGUGCGUAGGCGGCGCGGUAAGUCGGGUGUGAAAUCUCGGAGCUUAACUCCGAAACUGCAUUCGAUACUGCCGUGCUUGAGGACUGGAGAGGAGACUGGAAUUUACGGUGUAGCGGUGAAAUGCGUAGAUAUCGUAAGGAAGACCAGUGGCGAAGGCGGGUCUCUGGACAGUUCCUGACGCUGAGGCACGAAGGUCAGGGGAGCAAA